UAUAGCAGAAUUGAAGAUUUUGAUGAAGAUGACGAAGGAUAAAGAUCAAUUAUCAUUUCAUUGGAACUUCGAAGACAAGAUGGCUUGAAAAAUAUGAUAUAAAAGGAAAAGAAUGAGGAAUAGAAAGAGGAUGUUAGAGCACGGAUGAGUCGAAGAAGAGUCUGACCACAUAUAGAAGAAAAGAUAUUGGCUAUAUGCGUGAAUACAGUGUGUCUUGUUUGAGACAAGGCAAACAAUCAACGAUGACAAACAAUCAUAAAGGGAAUAAGAAUUCAAUUUUCUUCAGACUUCAGCCAGAAUUGAAGAUUUUUGAUGAAGAUGACGAAGGAUAAAGAUCAAUUAUCAUUUCAUUGGAACUUCGAAGACAAGAUGGCUUGAAAAAUAUGAUAUAAAAGGAAAAGAAUGAGGAAUAGAAAGAGGAUGUUAGAGCACGGAUGAGUCGAAGAAGAGUCUGACCACAUAUAGAAGAAAAGAUAUUGGCUAUAUGCGUGAAUACAGUGUGUCUUGUUUGAGACAAGGCAAACAAUCAACGAUGACAAACAAUCAUAAAGGGAAUAAGAAUUCAAUUUUCUUCAGACUUCAGCAAUUGAAGAUUUUUGAUGAAGAUGACGAAGGAUAAAGAUCAAUUAUCAUUUCAUUGGAACUUCGAAGACAAGAUGGCUUGAAAAAUAUGAUAUAAAAGGAAAAGAAUGAGGAAUAGAAAGAGGAUGUUAGAGCACGGAUGAGUCGAAGAAGAGUCUGACCACAUAUAGAAGAAA